GCAGCACACUGUCGUGUUGCACAUUCGAGGAACCUUAUUACAACCAAGCGUUUGGAAGGAACUGAUGCUUAAGCCACACGAGUCUAAGAGCCAAAGUUAGAUCAGUGGUUCUAAACCAAAGGUAGAAGCCCUUCCUUCCAGAGAGUGCUGGAAAGGGUUAGGGCACCUUUGUAGUCCUGGAGGGUUGUGCUGGCAGGUAAGCCAAGAAGAGCUCUCCUUCCUAUGGUGGUCAGACAGCCUGAUGCCAUGAAGAGUCAUCCAUUACUCCCAAAGUGCCAGCACCUCCCCCUCCCCCACCAAGCAUACAUCAUCUUACUUCAAAGGACAGGAAACAAUCUCCAGCGGAAGCUGAUGGUGUAUACUUGAUAGGGAAGCCUAGUUCCAGCAGUUCAGAGGAGAAAAGCUAGUGUCAGAUUGACAUUUUCCUUAUCAAAGAAUGAGCUUAAGUACCUGGAAAAUGAGUCUACUGGUAGUUUCCCAGGAGCUUUGUGGAUUACCUUUCACAAUAAAUACGUAAAAUACUUUUAUUAUUUGAGAGAAUGAUUGGAAGUCCUGAAAGCUGCUUCUACUUUCUAUUUUAGUCCCCUAAAUAUUAAUAUCUUGUGCAUUCUAUCAAGUUCUUGUGUUUUGCUUAAGGUGAUAAUAAAGCUAGUUUGCAUCAUGUAACCACUGUGUGAAUAUGGGGGAGAUAUAAAUAAGCUAAGGGAUUUUUUUAAAUUAAUCCUUAGCAAGUUUGCUGUAACUAGUCUUAUUUUUUGUUUUUUUCUUCGUUUAAGGCAGUGGUUCUUAACCUUCCUAGUGCUGCGACCCUUUAAUAUAGUUCCUCAUGUUGUGGUAACCCCCAGCCAUAAAAUUAUUUCUUUGCUAUUUCAUAACUGUAAUUUUGCUACUGUUAUGAAUUGUAAAUAUCCAAUAUGCAGGAUAGAUAUCUGAUAUUCGACCCCCCAGAGGGGCGAGACUCAUGGGUUGAGAACUUCUGGUUUAAGGUGUUUUGCUGUUUUUUGUAUUUCUGGAAGUAACUCUAGCUGCAUGGCAGUUUUUUCUUUCCUUUUUCCGUUUUAAAUAUAUAGUUGUUACUGGUCCUGUGGUAUCAGUGAAUAUAGUUCAAAUAAGUGCCAUUUAAAGCAACAACAAUUCUGUGUCCUUAACUGUCCUUUCCCAUUUCUCUCAUUCCCACUAGUUCAAAUAUUUGCUUGCCCAGGCUCCCAUAUUGCCCAUCAGAUCACUCAAGUUCAGUGUGUUUUGUCAGUAUUUUUGCCUUCUUGAAAUCAUUGUAGCAUUGCAGAGACACCAACUCCAGUAAUUGUAGUCACCUCUUCCUUAAGUAUGUCUGUCUGGUUGUUUUGUUUGCUGUUCUGUUUUGUUUUCUUUUAAGACUCCCUUACCUCAUAUUCCUACAUUACUUCCUUAGUUGAUCUCUUUCUAUGACUUUAGUUAUCACCUGUAUGCAGAUACUUCCAAAUUUUUGUCUCCUGAGAUUUCCCUGUAAAUCAUAGUUGCUAAUAUUGCUAACUCUUUGCUCUUUCACAUCUUGGCUCUUUCUCCCAGACCUGCUCUUCCUCUCACUUUCCCUUCAGCAGAUGGCUUUACAGUCAGAUCACUCAUACCACUCCCCUGCCUUCAUUGCUAUCAAGGUAGAUAGAAGACAAACUUCUGUUCAUCUUGCAGAACUUGGCUUACAUAUCAUCUAAGAAGCUUCAGGGGUAUCCUCUAGGCCAGGUACCCAACUACACGUGCUGAACACCCUGUCCUUUCUACUUAGCAUCUCUUACUGUGCGUUGGUCAUUGCUAGACUGGACCAGAGGGACGUUUAAUCCAUUGUUUCAUCUCUAGUGCCUGGCAUUUGAACAAAUGCUUGGGCAAAUAAAUACUUGUGUGGUUUUUUUUGUUUUUUAUGAAACCUUCACAGUCUUUUUUGACCGUCACGGACAUUUUGCCUGUUCUCUGAAUAGUUCUUAGCCAUGUAUUGCAAAUUAAGAAAUGAAAUUCACCUUACUUGCGACUAGUAAUCUCAUUGUUGUGUUUCUUGAAUUUAGUGCAGUGCUUAGCAUGUGGUUCAAAUAUUAUGUGAAUGUUGUUAAGAAAACAGACUGUAAUUUACCCUAGUAAACUAGUAGUAAUGUCAAGAUUCAAACCUAGGUGUACUCAAAAAUCAGCUCUCUAGUGUUAAGUCCAUAAUACAGAGCCUUUAUUUUGUUUUAAUUUCCAAAGGAACCUACAUAUAGAGGGAAAACAUUGGAUAACUGCUUAGAUUGAACUGAGUUCAGUAAUCUAAAAAUCACCUUCAGUAUUGGAGAAAGACAAGACUGCAAAAAGUUAAUGUCCAUUUUUCCUUUUGUAGGCAUCAACCCUAGGAGAAAGUGGCAUGCUAUUUAGUACUUACUUUCCUUUACAGAUGAUUUCUGGCUCUCCUGGAACUUAAAAGUAAGUAAACUUGUUUCUGAGAAAGAUGUCUUAGUCAGCCCUUCUGACUACAAGAUCUUCAGCUCAUUUAAAAAAAAAAAAAAUGUGGAAUUCCCACAUCAUCUCCCAGAGAGAAAACCCCCAGAUGACAUCCAGUUAACAUGGACUUUUAGAUUUGCUGUAUUUUCUUGCUUUCUUGUUUCAUGCUUCUGAAUUUCAUUUCUAGGUAAAUGAGACAUUUCAGUCUUAAGUUGGAAAGCCAGAUGCUUAUUAGUCUCUUUCAUUAAGCCAUUUUGCUCAACUUAAGAGAUAAACUAGUAUCAUUCUCUUAGUUGGACUUACAGUUUUAGGAAGUCACACUAAUUAGUUCACUCUGAGGUCUUGGUAGUAGGUACAACAGUCAUCCAGAGAUUUGAUCCUGUUGCAAAACUAGGUUUUUGUCAACCUUCAGGUUAAGGGUUUCUCAUUUUUAUCUCGUAUUUAAAAAGUUGUUUCAUCCUACAGUGUAAGAACGUUAUAAAUACUCUAUCAUUUCUGCCUUGAAACUGACCAAAUACUGAAUUCAUGUAUACUUUGUCUAAAGCAGCCAAUGGCCACCACAAAGUAUUUUUUUUUCUUCUUUAAUAAAGGGUAGAUGUCCCAUCUCCCAGCUCAUCUCAAGGGGCACCUCUCU
rnacentral:lncRNA from 1 species